CUGUGUCAUAAAACAAAGCAACAGCAACAAAAUUGCACAUAUCUUCUUUAGAAACCUAAAGAGAAAGAAGAAACUAGGACUAGAAAUAAGUUGUGAUGGAGUAUCUUAAAGAUACGAAGGACUCUUAACAUGAUUUUUACUCUGUCUAGCCUGAACUCAGACAGGGACAUGUGAGCAAACGCACAGCUAAUGUCCUUUUGAACUUAGUGUCUAUAAAGGGAGAGGAUCAUAAGUAAAUCAUGAUAGAUAUUUUGAUAGGACUUCUUACUCUCCAGCGUAAGAGCAGAUUUCUUACUCUCCAGAGAGAAUGUUCGAAGGCCAGGGUGUCUAGAAAGGAAAUGACGUCUUAACUAUAGUAUGAAAGGAAGCAGGCAAACCAAGAACGGCUGCGAGGAGAGAAAGUCCCAGGCGACAGAAGCAGUGUGCAAGCGUCCUGAGGUGCACGAGAGUAAAGCAAGGCAGAGGCACUGAAAGCCACGGCGCUAUGAAGUACAGAGUUCUGGAAGCAGAAGAAGGAAAGAGGAAGCUACAAAAAUACACAGACACUAGAUCCCAGAAGACUAUGAACUAGAGGUUUCGUUCUGACAGAAUAGGGACCAUUAGAACACGUGUGCGGAGAACAGAGCUACCGCUGCUUAGGAAGAUCAACCUGGGGUGGCCAGUUUGCAACAAAGAGUUGAGUUUUGUUCUCUCACCUAAUUUACAACUUUUGAUCCUGUUCCUGUGCCAGUACUGGAGAUCAAAGCCAGGGCCUUGCACAUUCCACAUACUCUUCUAAACAUAUAAAAUGCCCAGAGGUCAGCAUUAUAAAAAUCUAUGAACUGGAAACCUUUGGCCAGAGGAACUUCUAAAGGCCCACCAUCGUUUGUCUCCAAAGGCGGACAAGGUUUCUGAGGUCCCUUCAUCCCGUUCAUAGACAAACCUGCUCGGAGAAUGAGAGUUUAUAUCCACUCCUCCAUGCAGCAGCCAGAAAGGAAAAGGCUUGCUUCUCUGGGGAGGGCUUGUGAUAGCCCAGCAAGCCUAGCCCCAGCCACUCACAUCCGUCCCUGGCAUGGUGAUCCUGAGUGAUGUGAAAGUCUUAUGCCAGUAUCAUCUCCGGUUACACAGUAAAUUGUUGGUUUUCUUUUUUUUAAGAGUCUAAAUGGGUCCAACUCCAUUUAAUUUUCUCUGUAGUUUAUUGACUGAAAAAGCUAUAGCUUCCACCUUUGAGGAAGUAAUAGUCUGGUAGGACAGUUGGGAGGCCACGUGGGAGGAUGGGUGAUGGAUACAAGAACCGCAGCACUCAGCAGAAGGGGAGAUCGCUCAAGGAUCAUUCUUUGAGGAUUAUGGGAAUCCUUAAAAAUCUGCUGAACCCCAUGGGUUCUUUUCUGCACACACGCACACACACUCACACAUACGCAUGCACACACACACACACACAUACACACACACACACAUAGUGCUUUAAACUUUUCAUGAUUUUCUUUUUUGUGGGGGGGAGUUGUAUUUAAGGGUGUUCAUUGUUACGUCUCCAAGGCACUUAAAACUUCAGGCUAAAAUUGCUGUUCUGAAGAUAUACUUAGCUAGAAGAGCCUGGAAUGUUGGUGCCAGCAGUGACAUGGCCAGUCUCAGACGAGAACCUUCCUGUGUCAGUCAUCAGGAGGGUCUGGGCAGCCCAUGUGGUGCGAGGGCGUGCUAAAGAAAUCACAACUUCCUUGGCGCAUAAGUGAAGAGCCUGGAAUGUUGGUGCCAGCAGUGACAUGGCCAGUCUCAGACGAGAACCUUCCUGUGUCAGUCAUCAGGAGGGUCUGGGCAGCCCAUGUGGUGCGAGGGCGUGCUAAAGAAAUCACAACUUCCUUGGCGCAUACUUUGAAUCCUGCUAAUUCACAAACGCUAAGGUGGGCAAUCCCAAGAGCACAGAGUUGUUCGCAGAGAUCACCAGUUAUGGCUCCUUUUAAAAAUGUAAGUGACACAGUCAUAGUGAUCAUGGCUGAGCUCAUUUUAAAGAGAAGGAAAUACUGAGAGACUUAGAGAUUGACCCAAGAGUAAAAGUCUGCACCUGAGUCGAACAUGGGCCGUUGGCUGGGACGGUCCUUGCUUUCGCUGUUCUCCCUCACCACAUAGCAAAGGAGUAAGAAAAUGGAAGGAUGGAUGUAACUAAUACUGCUCACUUGUGAUACCCAUCUCACUUUAUUGUAGCCCGUCUUAACUCUUCACUUGCUCUCCUAGACUGUACCAUUCCCACGAGAAUGGGGAUUAUACCUGCUUUGAAAACCACAGCUACAGCCAGUACUCUUCUCACAAUGGAUGCUCAGGAAGUACAUCCCUCCCCAGGGUGACUGAAGGACAACAGAGUUACAGGAGUUCCACUUCUGUACAUGAUAAGAUGGAUGAAGCAAAGAAGUGCAGGCCGAAAG
rnacentral:sRNA from 1 species